rnacentral:rRNA from 1 species
UACGUAGGGUGCGAGCGUUGUCCGGAAUUACUGGGCGUAAAGAGCUCGUAGGUGGUUUGUCACGUCGUCUGUGAAAUUCCGGGGCUUAACCUCGGGCGUGCAGGCGAUACGGGCAAUACUUGAGUGCUGUAGGGGAGACUGGAAUUCCUGGUGUAGCGGUGAAAUGCGCAGAUAUCAGGAGGAACACCAAUGUCGAAGGCAGGUCUCUGGGCAGUUACUGACGCUGAGGAGCGAAAGCAUGGGUAGCGAACAGGAUUA